GAAUCGGUGGUGUAGUGGUAGUACGCGUCCCUUGUAUGGAUGAAACGCGGGUUUGACUCCCGCUUGUGGUCGUGUUUCU